rnacentral:rRNA from 1 species
GUGGGGAAUCUUAGACAAUGGGGGCAACCCUGAUCUAGCCAUGCCGCGUGAGUGAUGAAGGCCUUAGGGUCGUAAAGCUCUUUCGCUGGGGAAGAUAAUGACGGUACCCAGUAAAGAAACCCCGGCUAACUCCGUGCCAGCAGCCGCGGUAAUACGGAGGGGGUUAGAGUAGUUCGGAAUUACUGGGCGUAAAGCGCGCGUAGGCGGAUUGGAAAGGUGGGGGUGAAAUCCCGGGGCUCAACCCUGGAAUGGCCUUCAAAACUCCCAGUCUUGAGGUCGAGAGAGGUGAGUGGAAUUCCGAGUGUAGAGGUGAAAUUCGUAGAUAUUCGGAGGAACACCAGUGGCGAAGGCGGCUCACUGGCUCGAUACUGACGCUGAGGUGCGAAAGCGUGGGGAGCAAACAGGAUUAGAUACCCCAGUAGUCC